CGCUGGCGGCGUGCCUAACACAUGCAAGUCGAACGUGAUUAGAGAGCUUGCUCUCUAUGAAAGUGGCGCACGGGUGAGUAACGCGUAGAUAAUCUACCUGAUGAUCAGGGAUAACACUUCGAAAGGGGUGCUAAUACCUGAUAAGCCCACGGAGUCUUUGGACACUGCGGGAAAAGGAGGGGACCUUCGGGCCUUCCGUCAUCAGAUGAGUCUGCGUACCAUUAGCUAGUUGGUAGGGUAAAGGCCUACCAAGGCGACGAUGGUUAGCUGGUCUGAGAGGAUGAUCAGCCACACUGGAACUGAGACACGGUCCAGACUCCUACGGGAGGCAGCAGUGGGGAAUUUUGCGCAAUGGGGGAAACCCUGACGCAGCAACGCCGCGUGAGUGAUGAAGGCCCUUGGGUCGUAAAGCUCUGAC
rnacentral:rRNA from 1 species